UUGUGAUUUGAACAUACUUUCUGAGAAAAAUUGUUUAAAAAAACUGUUUAACUAUUUUAGAGUUUUUAUGGCUAAAACAGGUUAAAUUUAACAAUUAACAUGAAAAUAAUUUUUAAUAGCCUCUAACUAGUAUAUUUAGAGAGGUGUCUUUCUUAAUAGCAACUCAAACAACUAUGCUAAAUGGAUGCUUAAUAGUAUUUUCUUAAUAGCAACUCAACCUAUG
rnacentral:misc_RNA from 1 species